CUCUUCGCCGCUUGUUCUCUGUAUCUGACGCCUCUCCCUGACCCCGUAGCUCCCACUCUAAUCUUCCCUUUUUGGAUUUGUGGGGCGAUCUUUGAUCUGUUCUCUCUUCUCUGUAAUUGAUUCCUUCAAUCUCAAAUCCACCUCUACUAACCAUUGCUGCGACGGAACCACAACUGGAAGAAGAGGCGAGGGAGGAGGAAACGAUCAGCUAUUGCGGGAGAAGGGGACGGUUAACAGCGGAAAGGAGCCAUUUUUGCAAUGGCGAGUUGGGUUCUUUUCCAGGGCUGUGGCGUCAGGCUUCUCCCCGCCGCCUUGCCUCGCCCCAGAUCCGGCAUCCCGCCUGCCGCUAGCCUUAAGCCUCUGCGGAGGACCCGUCUUCCCUCUUCCACCUCUUGUCUCUGUUGCUCUGUCGGUCUCGCCGGCCGCAGGGACUGGGCGCUCAGGGUGAGCGCGCCGUUGCAGGUGGCGCCCUUGGAGGAGGGUUCCGCGAUGGGGAGUGGCGUGAAGGAGGAAGCGUUCGACCCAGGAACGCCACCGCCGUUCGGGUUGGCGGAGAUCCGAGAGGCCAUACCCAGGCAUUGCUGGGUCAAGGACCCGUGGCGAUCGAUGAGCUACGUGGUGCGCGACGUGGUGGUCGUCUUUGGUCUCGCGGUGGCGGCAGCAUAUCUCAAUAACUGGAUAAUGUGGCCGCUCUAUUGGAUAGCUCAGGGGACCAUGUUCUGGGCCCUCUUCGUUCUCGGGCAUGAUUGUGGCCAUGGGAGCUUUUCGAACGACCGAAAGCUUAACAGCGUGGUUGGGCAUUUACUCCAUUCCUCCAUUCUCGUGCCAUACCAUGGAUGGAGAAUUAGCCACAGGACGCAUCACCAGAACCAUGGGCAUGUCGAAAACGAUGAGUCAUGGCAUCCGUUGUCUGAGAAGUUAUAUAGGAGUUUGAAUGCUGUAACUCGAAAGCUUCGCUUCACAUUGCCAUUCCCUAUGUUUGCUUACCCCUUCUACCUGUGGAGAAGGAGUCCAGGGAAAUCUGGCUCACAUUUUCAUCCUAGCAGUGAUUUAUUUGUCCCUAAUGAGAAGAAGGAUGUGAUUACAUCAACGGUCUGCUGCGCAACGAUGGUGGUGAUACUUGCAGGGUUAACCUAUUUGAUGGGUCCUAUUCAGAUGCUUAAGCUUUAUGGGAUUCCAUAUUGGAUUUUCGUCAUGUGGCUGGAUCUGGUGACAUACUUGCAUCAUCAUGGACAUGAGGAGAAACUUCCUUGGUUCCGUGGAAAGGAAUGGAGUUAUCUUCGAGGAGGAUUGACAACACUAGAUCGAGAUUAUGGAUGGCUUAACAAUAUCCACCAUGAUAUUGGGACUCAUGUGAUACAUCACCUCUUCCCGCAGAUACCACAUUACCAUUUAGUGGAGGCGACUGAGGCGGCAAAACCAAUUCUCGGAAAAUACUACAGGGAACCAGUAAAAUCUGGACCUUUGCCAUUUCACCUAUUUGGAGUCCUAAUGAGAAGCUUGGGAUGUGAUCAUUUUGUUAGUGACAUUGGAGACGUCGUCUACUAUCAGACUGAUCCUCGAUUGAAUGGUGCUUCAGAAGCAAAGUGGCACAGACACUGAUGUCGUCCCAAUGAAAUCCAUCAGACUGCUAAUACCAUAAUACAUGGUCGAUGAAACCUGCACAUUCAGCAAAGCUGGAUUUUUGCUCAUGGAUUCCUCUCGAGACGCAUAUUUUCUCUCCUCGGGCGAAAGGAAGAGAGGUCUCUGCCAGUUAAUCAUGCGAUCCCACAUAACUAAGCAUGCAUUCAUAUCAGUUCAUAUUGCGACAAAGAUGUCAUCAGCACAGCUAACAUUUAAUUUUUAUAGACCAGGAAAUGGAGUGUGAUGGGUUCUAUCACCUCAAAUUGCCUUGAAUGGAGAAUGGUGUACGUUCGAGGGGCUAAAAGGUCUGCACACUGGAAUUUGUUCUGCAGCAUCAACCCCAGCAAGAGAAAGGAAGAAUAAAGUGGUAUUCUGCUAUCUCUCUCUCUCUAAUAUCACCUCUGCCUUUUUUUUGUUUCGGUGUCUCUAUCGACCUUUACCAACGAAAGUUUGUGGACAUGCACGCAAGGUGUUUGAAUAAAUGCCCAUACCAACAAUAAUAGAGCAUCUAGUGUUGGGUGGUGCCCACUGAGAAGGCCAUUGAGAACAGUGACAAAAGAUGUUGAGCUAGCAAAGCACCAUACAGCGCAAAUCUACUCGGCCAGCACUGAAGUAUGUUUCUCCAUAGAACAAAUCUAGCCAACCAUAUAUGUCGUGCAGCAGCUUUACACGAUGACAUAUGUGGACUACACUUCCAGUUCAUAAAACCUUAGAUUACGAGUGAGCAAAGGAGUCAAAGAGAAUGCUUCUUCUUGUUCAUAUACAAAACAUGUUGCGUCUAUAAAUCCAUCUGCUUGAUGAAUGAAAGAACUUGCACUCUUAUUGUGCAUACUACUGCUAUAUUUAAUGGAUUCCAAAGAAUGUAAAGAAGCAAAGAACCAAAAGAAAUGGCAUCUUCUACGCCAGUAUCUUCUCCUCCGCCCAUGGAGAGAACAUGUCCGCGUUCUGAUGCUCGGCCGCGCCAAGCCCAUCCUUCACCAGAGACCGCACCCAGGACACAUCCGGCUCGUUCGGCCCCGAAGCUACUACCCCUCCAAAGGUGGCAUGGUUGCUACGGAGGGCGAAGGAUGCGGAUUUCCUCAGCUUGUUCAGCUCCUCUCCCUGAAUGCCCCAUUCCAAUUUGCCGUCUGGUGAGCUCCAGUCGGACAGCAGCGAUGGCGUAGCGGCCACGGCAGCGGCGGUUGUCAUGGCCGAGAGCAUGGAUUGGCGGCCUGCGGUCGCCCCACGAUCGCAGAAGCUUUGACUGCGCAUAGCGAACGCGGAAGCCCUGGAAUUCAUGAUGGCCUUCGCCAUCGAAUGGUCGAGCCCGAACGAGGAUGUCGAGCUCACAGGAGGGGAGGAACACUGGUUGCCUCCGUAUCCAGACAGCAAUUGAGGCUGGUGCAUCUGGAUUCCAGAGGGGGAUUGGAACUGAGCUCCCCCCGUCUUCCUCAUAGAGAGCCCCUGCAACUGGGUCAGCAGUGAUGGAUCCACAGACCCCAACAAGUCAGUGUAUUCUGGAGCUCGAGCGGCCGCCGCGGCGGCAACUAAGGUGUUUGCUCCCCGGUUGGCCCGCGGCGAGGCUGUUCUUGUGAUUCCAUCCACAAGUUUCUGCUGAUAGCCUUCCAGUCCGAGCAGCUCGAGGUCGAAAUCCAACUCUCUGGCAUUCAGUGACGCCUUGAGUCUGCUGCUCGGCAGCUGCAAGGCCGGAGGUGUCAUCAAGCCGCCCGCUUGAUUCAUCCACGCCGCUGCAGCCCCUAAACCCGACGAAGCCGUAGGGGACAUCGGCGAGCCUGGCUGCUGCAUCAGCGUCAAGGCCAUCGCCAUGUCCAAAGAGGAAAGAGCCGGAGACGACGAUCUUGGAGAGGACAACAACGUUCCCGCAACUGAUGCCGCAGAGGGGUUCACCGUCCGCAGCUCCUCCGGCUUGUGGGCAAAGAAGCAGACCCGGCGGUUGCAGCAUGUCUCAUCCUUGCAGAGCCGAGUCCGGUACUGCGCCGGGUGGAGCCAACUCUCGAACACGCCAUGGGCGUAUUCGCAGGCGUCGCCAUUCCGGCAAGAACCUUUCCGGAACUCGAGGCACGGCACGCAGCUGUAGGAGAACUUCCUUGGGUCUCGGCGCCGGGCGUUCUCGCCGGGGUGGACGAAGGGGCACUCCGUCCAGUCAUGGGAGUAGGCGCGAGAGCACGGCUUGAUCUUGAAGGUAUACAUGCGGAACUCGUCGGUGCCGUAGAUCCCGGUGUUGAUGUCCGGAAGCGUCGAAUCCGGUGGAUAUUCCUUCUUCUCCCCUUGUUUCGGUUGCUCUUCUUUGCCCGGUGACGAAAGCCCGGGGAAAGGAGGAGCUUUCAGGAUCACUCCGAGGGAUUUGGCGACGGUGCUCAAUGAUUGCCGCGCGACGACGUCCCCGGGGCGGUUGCCACUCGCGUCGAGGGCGUCAACGACGUCCGCAUCGGCACCGAUCAAGAGCUUCACGGCCUCAAGAGAGGCGGGGGAGCCACCAGCGGCGGCACAAUGGAGCGCGGUGACGCCAUCGGAGGCGGCGCGGCGGGCGGCCUCGGCGGGCCGGGCGGAGAGGAGGUAGCCCAUCACGCCGGUGCUUCCGUAGAGCGCCGCGAUCAUAAGCGGCGUGCGUUGCUGGUAGCCCAUGCCCCGGCUAGGGGAUCGGCCGUACCAGUGGGCGGCAACAUCGAACGGGUGGCCCUCGUCCUCCACCGCCCGCUUGAAGGCGGCGAGGUCGUCGGAGGCGGCGAUCUCGAGGAGCAACGCCGCCGUCUCUGACGAGGGCUGCUUCGCCUCUCCGCUGGCCGAAGGCGGGGAGAGCUUCCGGUGGCCGCUACACAUGCCCUCUUUUCUACCUACACGAAAACAAGGGAACGCCAUCAGAAACCAAAAAAAGAGAGGACCAGAAGCCAAAUGAACGAAAGCAGAGCAGCGAAGGAAUGCGUACGGGAGGCGGAGAGAUGUUUAGCAGAGAGGAAUGAACGGACAAAAGGAAGGGAAAGUCCGGUGUACGCAAGGAAGUCUUUGGUCUUUCGGACCUUUUGUAGACGGGAGUCGUACUGCGUAAAUUACACAAAGAAGCAUAAGCUUAACCAAAAUUUCACA